UACGGGGGGUGCGAGAGUUAUUCGGAAUUAUUGGGCGUAAAGGGCGCGCCGGCGGUUGAAUAAGUCAGGUGUGAAAGCCCUUGGCUUAACCAAGGAAGUGCAUUUGAUACUAUUUGACUUGAGUAUGGGAGAGGGAAGUGGAAUUCCUGGUGUAGAGGUGAAAUUCGUAGAUAUCAGGAGGAACACCGGUGGCGAAAGCGAUUUCCUGGACCAAUACUGACGCUGAGGCGCGAAGGCGUGGGGAGCAAACAGG
rnacentral:rRNA from 1 species